rnacentral:tRNA from 1 species
AGAAAAAUAAGCUAAAAAAGCUAAUAGGUUCAUACCCUAUAUAUAAAAGUAAAAAUCUUUUUUUUUCUA